GAUGAACGCUGGCGGCGUGCUUAACACAUGCAAGUCGAACGAAGCACUUUAUUUGAUUUCCUUCGGGACUGAUUAUUUUGUGACUGAGUGGCGGACGGGUGAGCAACGCGUGGGUAACCUGCCUUGUACAGGGGGAUAACAGUUGGAAACGGCUGCUAAUACCGCAUAAGCGCACGGCAUCGCAUGAUGCAGUGUGAAAAACUCCGGUGGUAUAAGAUGGACCCGCGUUGGAUUAGCUAGUUGGUGAGGUAACGGCCCACCAAGGCGACGAUCCAUAGCCGACCUGAGAGGGUGACCGGCCACAUUGGGACUGAGACACGGCCCAAACUCCUACGGGAGGCAGCAGUGGGGAAUAUUGCACAAUGGGCGAAAGCCUGAUGCAGCGACGCCGCGUGAGCGAAGAAGUAUUUCGGUAUGUAAAGCUCUAUCAGCAGGGAAGAUAAUGACGGUACCUGACUAAGAAGCACCGGCUAAAUACGUG
rnacentral:rRNA from 1 species